rnacentral:snoRNA from 1 species
GACACGCUCCUUAGAUCCACAUCUGGAGGGGCUGUGCUCUGAGCUGGGCUCCUCAACAGCUUCCUGGCUGUACAGUUGGAUGUGCUUGAGUCAUUGGCGUGUUAGAACAGUCCACCUGUCCCCUAGCCCACCUGUAACACUGACAGCCCUGUCCUCCUGAGACAGAGAGUUCCCAGUGCUGCAAUCCUAGGGGACGGACACA